GAUGAACGCUGGCGGCGUGCCUAAUACAUGCAAGUCGAGCGAACAAAGGAGGCUCUUGCCUCUCUUCCGUUACGGACGGACGGGUAAUUACCAGGUGGCUAACCUACCUAUAAGACUGGGGUCACUUCGGGAAACCUAAUCUAACACCCGUUAUUAUAUUGAACCGCAUGGUUCAUUGGUGCACACCGUAUUUGCUGUCCCUAAUUCAUGGAUCCGCGCCGCAGUAGCUAGUUGGUACGGGAACGACUUACCAAGGCAACUAUGCGUAGCCGACCUGUGAGAGUGAGCGGCGACACUGGAACUGAGACACGGUCCAGACUCCUACGGGAGGCAGCAGUAGGGAAUCUUCCGCAAUGGGCGAAAGCCUGACGGAGCAACGCCGCGUGAGUGAUGAAGGUCUUCGGAUCGUAAAACUCUGUUAUUAGGGAAGAACAAAUGUGUAAGUAACUAUGCACGUCUUGACGGUACCUAAACAGAAAGCCACGGCUAACUACGUG
rnacentral:rRNA from 1 species